GACGAACGCUGGCGGCGUGCUUAACACAUGCAAGUCGAACGGAAAGGCCCUGCUUGCAGGGUACUCGAGUGGCGAACGGGUGAGUAACACGUGGGUGAUCUGCCCUGCACUUUGGGGUAAGCCUGGGAAACUGGGUCUAAUACCGGAUAGGAGCCAUUUUUAGUGUGAUGGUUGGAAAGUUUUUUCGGUGUAGGAUGAGCUGGCGGCCUAUCAGCUUGUUGGUGGGGUAAUGGCCUACCAAGGCGGCGACGGGUAGCCGGCCUGAGGGGGUGGACGGCCACAUUGGGACCGAGAUGCGGCCCAGACUCCUACGGGAGGCAGAAGUGGGGAAUAUUGCACAAUGGGCGCAAGGCUGGUGCAGCGACGCCGCGUGGGGGAUGACGGCCUUCGGGUUGUAAACUCCUUUCGCUAGGGACGAAGCUUUUUGUGACGGUACCUAGAGAAGAAGCACCGGCUAACUACGUG
rnacentral:rRNA from 1 species